rnacentral:rRNA from 1 species
UACGGAGGAUCCAAGCGUUAUCCGGAUUUAUUGGGUUUAAAGGGUGCGCAGGCGGGUUGAUAAGUCAGCGGUGAAAGUUUGCAGCUUAACUGUAAAAUUGCCGUUGAAACUGUCGAUCUUGAGUGCAAAUGAGGUAAGCGGAAUGUGUUGUGUAGCGGUGAAAUGCUUAGAUAUAACACAGAACACCGAUUGCGAAGGCAGCUUACUGGGAUGCAACUGACGCUCAUGCACGAAAGCGUGGGGAUCAAACAGGAUUAGAUACCCUGGUAGUCCACGCAGUAAACGAUGAAUACUAACUGUUUGCGAUAUACAGUAAGCGGUACAGCGAAAGCGUUAAGUAUUCCACCUGGGGAGUACGUUCGCAAGAAUGAA